CCUACGGGUGGCAGCAGUGGGGGAUAUUGCACAAUGGGGGAAACCCUGAUGCAGCGAUGCCGCGUGAAUGAAGACGGCCUUCGGGUUGUAAAGUUCUGUCGCAGGGGACGAAAAUGACGGUACCCUGACUAAGAAGCCCCGGCUAACUACGUGCCAGCAGCCGCGGUAAUACGUAGGGGGCAAGCGUUAUCCGGAUUUACUGGGUGUAAAGGGAGCGUAGACGGUGCAGCAAGUCUGAUGUGAAAGGUCGGGGCCCAACCCCGGGACUGCAUUGGAAACUGUUGAACUGGAGUACAGGAGAGGUAAGCGGAAUUCCUAGUGUAGCGGUGAAAUGCGUAGAUAUUAGGAGGAACACCAGUGGCGAAGGCGGCUUACUGGACUGUAACUGACGUUGAGGCUCGAAAGCGUGGGGAGCAAACAGGAUUAGAUACCCGGGUAGUC
rnacentral:rRNA from 1 species